rnacentral:misc_RNA from 1 species
AGGCACAGCAUGAGGAAGAAAUGGUAAACAGACCUGUGAUAAAGCAAAAAAUUAUUGUUAAAAUUUCUUGGCACAGUGAAAUUAAACUGUCUUGACAUUGGCAAAGCUAAUUUUUAAUCAUGUUCUGAUAUCCUUAGUUAAUUGAUGACUUGAUGUUUGGAUGAAGUAUGGUUUAACUGCAUUUCUUUUUGCAGGCGAUGUUGGCUAGAGAACGUG